rnacentral:lncRNA from 1 species
CCUGCAGACAUCCUUUUCACCAGAAUCUCCACUGAACCUUUUUUUAGGUCUUUCUCUGAGCCAAAAGACAGACAGGGAAGGCUCCUUCCCACCCUGCAUGAAAAAUGGCACAAAGACAAACAGAAACUCAAGAGAAAGUGCGUGCUGAGGGGGACUGAGUGCAGAAGAGGGGAGCUCUGGCUGCAGCCCGCUGAGGACAGGCCCUCACACCGAAGCGUGUACCUCCAGUAAAACACUCUGGGUCAUCACGCAGCCCGGGGAGAGGUACUGACCCGCUCUGCUUAUGGCUGUGCUCUCUGCUUGCCACAGCAGCGCCGAGAUUGAGCUCAUCAUAAUGUGUCUCCAUAUAGGGCAUAUUGCUAUUAAAAUAACUGUCUUGCAAAUAUGUUUUAUUGUGCGAUAGGUGCGUGAGAGCUCUGCCGCGUGUGUGCUGGCUCGGUUUUUCUCAGCUGAGGACAUGAGCUGCCCUCCAAGCAGACACUGUUUUGGGUGGGAGCUGAGUGCUAUUCGAGGCCAACGUCAGCCGACAGGAGCAGCUCCCGCUGCCAAAUGCCACGGGAGAACACGGGCACGCAGGCACACAUAACUUGCUGCCCUGUGGGCUAAAAGCAGAGCAAGCAGCCCAGGCAGGAUGGCGGGGAGGCACGGAGCGGCUGCUGCUCGCCCGCACGUCCCGUUAGGCUGCAGAGCUGCAGCCUGUGAAAGGGAUGUGUGUCGGUUACACUGCGUACGCACGUGCUUGUUAGUGGAUAAUCUGAUGGUGCACAUUUGCCGUGUCUUGUGCAACUGAAUGACUGCACACAGGGGGCUGGGUAUUAAUUACACGCUUGAGAGACGUGUGGCUGUGCGCG